GAAGAUAUCCUGCAGCGCGAUGCCGCCCCUUCCGAGGCUUCCUCGGAUGUCAAUGC
rnacentral:SRP_RNA from 1 species